AGGAGGGCCAGGGGUCACAGGAGGGGGGCUUAAGGGGAGGAGGAGGAGAGGGAGGAGGAGGCAAAGGCAGGGCUCCUCCCCCUAAGGCUUCCUCUCCUGGAGCACAAGGCAGAAAGAUCCCUGUCACUCGCCAGGCUGGCUGCUCCACAGGGUCCUUCCUGGAGGGGGUCUCCGUGCCCUUUGACCCUCACCAUGCGCCCCUCCUGGACCCCUGAUGGGACACCGCCUGACUGGAACUGCUGGACCUGGCCCUGGGGACCCCACGACCCCCGCCUGUCAACGCCAGUGACCCCAUCUAAAGGCUUUCUGGGGGUGAGGACAACUCACCUAAUGGUUCAGCGGGGAUUCGAACUCCAGCCAUUCUGCUUAUGCUGCCUUUCGAUGUGGACAACUGAAAAAUAAAUAAAAAUAAAGCAA